CCUGGCGGCUGUAGCGCGGUGGUCCCACCUGACCCCAUGCCGUACUCAGAAGUGAAACGCCGUAGCGCCGAUGGUAGUGUGGGGUCUCCCCAUGCGAGAGUAGGGAACUGCCAGGC
rnacentral:rRNA from 1 species